rnacentral:rRNA from 1 species
GUCCACGCUGUAAACUAUGCUUGCUAGCUGUUAUGAGUAUCGACCCUCGUAGUAGCGAAGCUAACGCGUUAAGCAAGCCGCCUGGGGAGUACGGUCGCAAGAUUAAAACUCAAAGGAAUUGACGGGGACCCCGCACAAGCGGUGGAGCGUGUUGUUUAAUUCGAUGGUAAGCGAAGAACCUUACCAAGGUUUGACAUCUCUGGAAUCUCUCCGAAAGGAGAAAGUGCCUUCGGGAACCAGAUGACAGGUGAUGCAUGGCCGUCGU